UUAUUAAUAAAAAAAGCCCUAACUUUUAAUUUAACUUUUUUCCCCCAAAUUUCUCUUCUCCCCCAAUCUUCUGUCUGCCGCGCGGUAAGCUUGUUCGACAUCGUCUCUUCCGUCUGCGUGGUGUUCAUCAUCGCUCGCAAGUCGUCGCCACCUCUUCUGUCUGCGUGUCGUUUCGUCGUUGCUCAUGGUUGCUCGUGUUCACCGUCGCUCGUUGCUCGUGGUUGCGCGUUCUGUUCGUGGUCGCUCGCAAGCCGUCGUCGCGCGUUCUGUUCCGUCUGCACAUGUUCGUUGUCGCUCGCAAGCAGCCGCCGCCUCUUCCGUCUGCGCAGGUUCGUCUGCCGCCGCCGUUCAGAAGCCACCUCUUCCAUCUGCACAGGUUAAAUUACUUCAUACUUCUGACGUUCAGAAGCCACCGCGCGUUCUACAGCUUGCUUGCUUUUAAUGGAUUAUAAUCUCUCUGAGUUGGUAUAUGCUUCUUUGUUUUGAAGGUCAACAAGAUUACAGUAGACUUAGACCUUGGUGGCAAUACAAGCAUGUUCAACAUAUUCAUAUCAAAUAACUACAUUGAAAAAAAAUAUUUUGCUAGAAUCCAUUGGAGCAGUGAAGCCAUGUUUGCAGCAAUUGAUUGAUUUAUAGGUCUUUUUGUAGGUUUGGUAGCCAAAUUUUGGUUCAAAUGUAUUUAUUUAAAUAGCUUGUUCAUUACUUUAUUGUAGAAACACUUUAUGACGAACAAUUGUACAUAUAUUAAAGUAUAUAUAUUAAUGCGUUCACCAUUUCUUUCCA